AGCGAGCUGCCUCGGGUUUCGGAGGAGCCAGCAGCAUUUGUCUGAAGGUAGCACAGCGCACAAUGGAAAUAAAGAUCCCAGCAAGCUGCAUGGGUCAGGUACCCAACUCACCUCAGCCAAACUGGCCUAGAAGACACUGUCUCCACAGACUGGCCAAGCUGCUGAGGAUCUAGUAGACCUGAGUCUGCUGACUUCUGCCAGAAGCAAGCAGCAGCUGCAGUAGUACAAGAGCUUGAAGAUGUGGGAGAAGGUGGGCGCGUGCAUGCAAAUGCACUGUGCAUGGAGCUUAUGAGUGGUGAAAGGGGAUGCAGACUUUGGUGACUGUGCGCUUCCGUGGCCGUAGUGCAAGAUAUUGUGCGGCUCGCUGCAUCAAUGCCUGGAUUUUUACAUGGGGACCGAAGAUGUGGGAACUACCCUGGAUGAAACACAGCUGGAAGAUGGGGUGAAAGAGCAAGAGCAGUCUUCAGAAGAAGCCCUGCUGCAGUCCAUGGGGCUGCUGAGGUGUGGGGUGGCCUGAAAACAAGCUCUGAGGCUGUGCGCAGGGCUAGGCUGAAUGGGAAGCAGCAGUGGAGUAGGCACUGAAGCUGGGUCUACUGUCUCUCUUGGUCCAAGGCAGACAUCCAGGCCUCUUGAGGAGAGGACCUAAACCAGCAUGGAGAAAGGUGGCCUGUUGUAGCAAAUGCAUGGUGACGUUGGGUGUCAGGCAAGCAGCUGGAGCACUGAAGAAGGAAAGAGGAGGGAUCACGUAGGGGGAAAGCCAGCAGGUCCACUCACUGCUUGGAGUAGGUUGAACACUGCAACAACACUUGCUUGACAGCAGCUCAGCUACAUGGUCACGAAGCUGCAGUCAUGGCUCCUCAUCCCCCUCUGGAUCUACUGACUGUAUUCAGCUCUCCAUGGCAUGAUGCAUGCACCCUCUAAACCUCCAAGCAGCCUGUAUCAAGACAUGGAGAACAGACUCUUGGCAUUUGUUUCCACUGCAAGGGAUGCUUUGGUGCUCACAGGUUCACUGAUGGCAUAUUUUGGAUUUAAUCUUUGGAUAUUUUUGUCACUUAGUUUGUUGUUAAUUGUUUGCAGGAGUGUGGAGUGUUUGUAAUGAUAUUGAAUUCUCUUAACAUGAUGUCUUCAUUAAUAAACAAAAGUGGCUAUACCGUACUUUGACAUUUGAGUGUUUAGGAAAGAAGGAUGGGUGACAGAAUUGUGUUCAGAUGCCUCCACUGCUUGUCUCGCUCUUCUCACAGAGCCUAUAUGUGAAGUGUACCCCAACACAGUACAGCAUGACAUACCUUUUGCAUCUCACUAUGCAAGCAGGUGAGCUCAUAAGUCGUCCUGCUUUUCCUUUGCACCCAGCUCCGUCAUAGAUAACUGCACUUCACAGGUGUCUAUAUCCAUCCCACAAACCAGCAGCAUCUUGGGCU